rnacentral:hammerhead_ribozyme from 1 species
AACUUGCUGAGAAGUCCCAUAAUAGGACGAAACGGCCGUCCAGCGC